UUUCCUAGAAAGUUUAUGCAUUCAAGGAUGGCUAAAAGUAUAUCAUCAUGAUAAAUAUUUUAAAAGAAAUGCAGCUGUCUAUUGUCUGCACACUGUCCAUGUCCCACAAGCCCAUAGCCUGGUGACCAUGGUCUUCAACUCAAACUUGGUGCUGUUGAUGCUGUCAAUGUGGAAUUGAAGACAGAGAAGCAGAGAUUUUUAAGUCAGAAGCAAACUUCAGAAGUUUUAGUUUGUAACUAUUGUUUAUUUCUGGAAAUCAUUUGGAAGAUAUUAUUUUACUUUUGU
rnacentral:lncRNA from 1 species